rnacentral:rRNA from 1 species
GGGUGAGUAACACAUUGGUAACCUACCUCUAAGUCGGGGAUAGCCUGCUGAAAAGCAGAUUAACACCCGAUAGUCAUGGGGGGACACAAGUCAUUCCCAUGUAAAUUUUUUAGCUUAGAGAGGGGCCUAUGGCCUAUCAGCUAGUUGGUAAGGUAAAAGCUUACCAAGGCUAUGACGGGUAGCAGGCGUGAGAGCGUGACCUGCCUCAAUGGGACUGAGACACUGCCCAUACUCC